rnacentral:lncRNA from 1 species
UUUCAAAUUGUUUAUAUUAUUUUGACAUUAUUAAAAUUUAAUAUAGAUGUAGAUAUAUUUUUUAAAUGCUUAAAAAUUUUGUUAAUUAUAUGUCAUAAAUAUUUUCAGUAUUUUUUAGGUGAAAUUAAUUAUUUCUUAUUAAUAUUAAUUCAAUACUUAUCUUUAAAAAAACCAUUUUCAAAGAUGUAUAUUAUUUUUAAUUUUUUUUUUUAUCUUUUUGAUAAUGCAUCAUGCGUUUAUCAUUUAUAUAAAUAUUUUUAUUAUGAUUGUAAUUAUAAUAAACUUAUUUCAUCAUUUGAUAAAGAANNNNNNNNNNUUUUUUUAACGCUUGUCAGAAAUUAAUAUUUAUGAGUACUUAUUUAAAAAUUAAUAUUUGUACUAGUGCAUGUUUACACACGCUAACAAAAUGCAGUAGUAUAUUUACCCUAGAGACUUCUCCAUUUUUUUUUAAUAUACUAAAAAAUUUUGAAAAGAAGAAAAAAAGUGAAAGCACAAAUACAACACUUUUUAAAAAAAAUUCAAAUGGAAAAAAAAGCGAUGUAUCAAAAAACGGCUUAAAUAACUUAAACAGUUUAAAUAGCGCAAAGACCUUAAAUAGGGCAAACAGUUUAAACAGUGUAAAUAGUGUAAAUAGCGUAACUAGCGUAACUAGCGUAAAUAGCAUAAAUAGCAUAAAUAGCUUAAACAGCUUAAACAGCGUAAAUAGUAAAAGUAGUGUUAUUUUAAAAAAAAAUAAUCCAUAUAAUACUCAAAAUGGUGACGAUAGCUACAAAAAUAAAACUAAUGUACAUAAUCUUAAUAGCGAUUAUAUAGAUACGAAAAAAACAGAAAUAGGUGCCACACAUGACAUAAAAAACGAAUUGAAUGAUAAACAUACCAACUUAGAUAAUGGAAAAAGGGUUUUUGGAUAUGCUAACAAUAGGCAUAAAAAUAGUGACAUAAUACAGUAUAAUACGAAUAACUACUCUUAUGAUAAUGUCAAACAGGACAUGGAUCAUAAAAAUCACUCAAAUAAUAUUCAAAAACGUAAUAAUAAUAUUAAUAAUAGUAAUAAUAUUAAUAAUAGUAAUAAUAAUAAUAAUAAUAGUAAUAGUAAUAGUAAUAAUAGUAAUAAUAGUAAUAAUAG